rnacentral:rRNA from 1 species
GAGUUUGAUCAUGGCUCAGGAUGAACGCUAGCGGCAGGCUUAACACAUGCAAGUCGAGGGGUAUAGUAGCAAUACUAGAGACCGGCGCACGGGUGCGUAACGCGUAUGCAAUCUACCUUUUGCAGGGGAAUAGCCCAGAGAAAUUUGGAUUAAUGCCCCAUAGUACUACAACUUGGCAUCAAGAUGUAUUUAAAGUAACAACGGCAAAAGAUGAGCAUGCGUCCCAUUAGCUAGUUGGUAAGGUAACGGCUUACCAAGGCUACGAUGGGUAGGGGUCCUGAGAGGGAGAUCCCCCACACUGGUACUGAGACACGGACCAGACUCCUACGGGAGGCAGCAGUGAGGAAUAUUGGUCAAUGGGCGCAAGCCUGAACCAGCCAUGCCGCGUGCAGGAAGAAGCAUCUAUGGUGUGUAAACUGCUUUUAUACAGGAAGAAACACUCCCUCGUGAGGGAGCUUGACGGUACUGUAAGAAUAAGGACCGGCUAACUCCGUGCCAGCAGCCGCGGUAAUACGGAGGGUCCAAGCGUUAUCCGGAAUCAUUGGGUUUA